CUACCCAAAAUAGUUUUCUGAUUACAUGGCACAAAAUUUUUUAAGAGCAGUGUAUGCGACAUAACUCAGUUAACUGCUGCACAUUUGUGUCAACGGUCACACUUCAGCAAACUAAUCAAGUAAUAUCCCUCACAUUGAAAACUUGCGAAACCUGUGCACAGUGAAAUCUGUUUUCGAGGUGAUAUCAGAGAUGAUUUGUUACUAACAGGUAGUGAUGGGCUAAACUGUGAUUUUCCGAUAUCAGUGAUUUCUGUGAAUGCUACUUUUCAGUAUCUGUUAUUCUUAACUGUGAUUUGUCGCAGUUAAGAGUCGCAGUUAAGGAACGAGGUCGUGUAUCCCUCCGCCACUGCUAUUUCUGCUACUUCCGUGAUUUCUGCUACUUCUGUGACUUCUGCUACUUCUGUGAUUUCUGUGACUUCUGCUACUUUUGCGAUUUCUGUGACUUCUGCUACUUACCACCGGAAGAAAAGUUACAGCUGUCCACACAGAAAAUCGCAUCUUAACAAACCUGUCAUUGGUACCUGAACUACAUUUCAGUCACUCAGUAAAGUAAUAACUCAAAAUAUCAUUGUCAACAGAUCUGAAGAAAUUGCCACUGCGUCUUUAGACCGUUUUCGUCAGACGAGAGACGCAGUUCUGACUCUGAUUACUGGUUGUGGUACGUAUCUAUCCACAUCAAGUCUGUUGAGAGAGACUCGUGAAGAUUCAAGACAGCUCUUAGAGGAUUUGCAGUUUAAAAGUGAAAUAAGUGU